rnacentral:rRNA from 1 species
GACGAACGCUGGCGGCGUGCUUAACACAUGCAAGUCGAACGGAAAGGCCCUGCUUUUGUGGGGUGCUCGAGUGGCGAACGGGUGAGUAACACGUGAGUAACCUGCCCUUGACUUUGGGAUAACUUCAGGAAACUGGGGCUAAUACCGGAUAGGAGCUCCUGCUGCAUGGUGGGGGUUGGAAAGUUUCGGCGGUUGGGCAUGGACUCGCGGCUUAUCAGCUUGUUGGUGGGGUAGUGGCUUACCAGGGCGGUGACGGGUAGCCGAACGCAGAGGGUGACCGGCCGCCCUGGGAGGGAGACCCGCACCAGAGUGCUACAGGAGGCAGCAGUAGGGAAUCGGCGGCAAUGGACGGAAGUCUGACCGAGCGGCGCCGCGUGAGUGAAGAAGGUCGCCGGGUCGUGAAGCGCUGUUGUGGGAGAAGAACGCGUGUGCGCGUGGAAAGUGCAGAGUGGGACGGUAUCUGAAAAGAAAGCGACGGCUAACUACGUG